rnacentral:tRNA from 1 species
AGAGGUAAGAAGCCUGUUCUUGACUUCUAAUCAUAGAAUAAAGUAAUUAGCUAUUACUUUUACCUCUG